AUAAAUGCCACAGAGCCCCUCCCUACAAAUGUGGAUGGGAUAUUUGUAGGAUGUUACUGAUGGCUCUUAUCUGACAUCAAAUUUCUGUUUCUACAGGCUGGGGACUAAUGACAGCAUUUAGAAAAUUGGGCAGACUAGAUGGGCCGACUGGUUCUUAUCUAACAUCGCAUUCUAGGUUGGGUGUUUCUGUAACUGGCUGAAUUUGGUGUGUGGGGUUGGCUCCCUGUAAUUGUUUAG